AUUAACGCUGGCGGUGUGCCUAACACAUGCAAGUCGAGCGGAAAUAUUUGCGAUUACAUCAAGAGUAUUUUAGCGGCAAACGGGUGCGUAACACGUUGGAGCCUACCUCAAAGUAGGGGAUAACUAGUCGAAAGAUUAGCUAAUACCCUAUGGUCUCGAAAGAGUAAACCUUUACGGGCUUUGAGAGGGGCCUGCGUCCUAUCAGCUAGUUGGUGAGGUAAUGGCUCACCAAGGCAAUGACGGGUAGCGGUUCUGAGAGGAUGAUCCGCCACACUGGUACUGAGACACGGACCAGACUCCUACGGGAGGCAGCAGUGAGGAAUAUUGCACAAUGGGGGAAACCCUGAUGCAGCAACGCCGCGUGGAGGAUGACGCAUUUCGGUGUGUAAACUCCUUUUAUAUGUCAAGAAAAUGACGGUAGCAUAUGAAUAAGCACCGGCUAACUCCGU
rnacentral:rRNA from 1 species